UGGUGGAGUGAUUUGUCUGGUUAAUUCCGUUAACGAACGAGACCUCGACCUGCUAACUAGCUUGCGUUUAUGGUUCACAUGGGUAAGCUUCUAGAGGGACUUUGGCAUUGAAGGCUACAGGAAGUUCGAGGCAAUAACA
rnacentral:rRNA from 1 species